rnacentral:rRNA from 1 species
AUGGAAGGCCUUCCACAUUGGAACUUCAAUCCCGGCCUUGCUGUGGCCGACGAGGUGUGUCGCCGUUUUGGAGAAACUGUUCAUUUUUCGCCCUCACGUUCCACCAAGGAAUUUUUCUUGUUUGUUUCCUUUUCCUCGGCCUCUUUUCCUCUAUCCGAAGAGUCGGUGAGUAUUGCAUUGCAAUUCUGCAUUGGUGGCCAUCCACGUGGUUUCAAGGUUUCUCAGAUCAAUGAUCGAUCUUUUCGAUUCUCCUUGGCUGGCAACAAAGUGGGACACUACAUUCAUGGACUCAAGGAUUGCAUUUGA